GAGCUGUGAAGAAAUAUGGUUUAACGAAGGUUGGGUCCUUCGCUCUCAUCUGAUUUCAAGAUGAUAUGCCACCAUCCUGAGCUC